rnacentral:lncRNA from 1 species
AGCCAAUUAAGGAUGGAUUUUACAGUUUGAGUCUCAGGGUAACCUCAUUUCCAUAUCUCUAGUCUUGAUUUAGAUUUUUAACUCCCUCUCACUUUGAGAUUAAGCACCGGUUUGCAAAGGGCCCCACAGACUUCAGUGCAUAAAACAGAGGACCCGCGCCUCCAGGCACUGGUAAGGAAUCAAUGGCUCCUUCCGCUCUUUGUCUGUGCGCUUGGCGCUGUAAGCUGCUACCUUGAUUUUGGAGAUUUGAGACAGAAGUUGGCUGCAGAACCUGUUAUUGAGAGCAAAGAUCUUUUGAAUUACACUGAGAAUCGGAGUCCUGCAGAAACUGAACCAGAAAAAAGAAAACAGACCGAUCAUCUGUUUGUGCUGGCUCUGCAAGCCAGGGUGCUGGCGGGAGAGGCCUGAGCAUUUCAGCUGCUAAGAAAAAGUUAUGGGCAUGAAGGGAGGAAAAAGAAAAAAGGAACCCACAAAGUAUCAGAAGACCAGCUACAGAGAGCUAAGGAAAAUCAUCUCUCCAGAACUUGCUAGUUACCACAGUUCACUACGGAGUUUGGAUCCACAAGGUCACUCUUGAAUCUUAGGCCUAACUGGAGCUCACCUGUGGCAGAAGGAGCCAGUGUAGAGCCUCCAGAGCUCUCUCCUGAGGGAUGGAUGGGUGACAUGAUGCAGUCUCACUGCAGAAGAAGUGCCAUCAUUGGACUUCAGUGGAAUCAGAUGAGGCUAUGUAUGGCCAGGAUCACCAUCAAGCAAGAACCAAAGUCUAAACCUCAGGCAGGACCAACCAAUUCGGGCAAGAAUGUAGACUGCAUAAGAAUAUAUACUGCAUACAGCUGGGCCUAGAAAGGGGCCACUGCCAAGAAGCAAAACUCUCUCGGGAAUUUCUCUUCCUCCUUCAUCUCAGUUCCUUGGCAUAUUUAUUUUAUCACUCUGAGAACCAGCUACAUUUUCUGCUCCUCUGGGACUCUGUGGAAUAAAUUACACAUAUGAUAUUUUAAAUUUAGAUGUUAGCACCCCUGACUCCGAAUGUACUAAUCUUGCAUGGGCUGAAUGACUACCCAGGUGCAGGGAGCCGUCGGCAUCAGGGGUAAGGCUUCCCCUUGAUGGCAUGAGAGAGUGGCAGAAAGCAGGAAAAGCAUGGCAGAACUGAGAAACCCUUUAGACCAGGGGUCCUCAGCCUUCCUAAUGCUACCACCCUUUGAUGCAGUUCCUUGUGUUGUGGUGACUGCCAACCAUCAAAUUAUUUUUGGUGCUACACCAUAACAGUAAUUUUGCCACUUUUUUCCUGUAAACACCUUUUAUUCAGUUAGCCACACUAGCAGGCAAUUUUUCCACACCAGAAAGGAGUCAUGACUUGAUUUUUCCUGCUUCCAAAAUGUUUAUCAAAUCCUGUGUCUCCCAACAAAUGAAACAUCCAUUGUCUGUGAGACUCGCUCUGGGGAAUGGAGGUGAGUCUCCAGUCUGUAUGCACCAUGAGCAGGAAUGUCAGUCUUUCCUCCUCUUCUUUACAUAUCUAUUCCUCCUAAAGUAUCAUUCCAGAAAACUGGGAAUGAACGACUACAAGGUCAAGGGAGGAAAGGAGGUUGGGACGCACACACCAUGAACACAAACGAAAUGAAAAUUGUACAAAAGCAGUUUAUAGUGGACUACUCUGAGACACCAAAGGCUGGUUGAAGGAAUUAGCCAUUUUGCAGGAGCCGGGGCUGUGUGCUGUGUGUAGAUCUGAGCCAAGCAAUUCACACUGACUUGGGGUUAUAAUCCCCCUGCCCAUGCCUAAGUCUGGUUUCUGCAUCAUGCCUCCACAGGGGCCUCUCAUCCCACCACUCGGCACACCAUGGGGGGCUUUAGGUCCCGAAGGCAGUUAUCCCUGCAGUCGCCUUUUGUAGGAGCUCAAGACUUCUUCUCUUCCACAUUCAUGCACGCAGCGCUUCGGAACAUGAUGGGCCUAUUAUUAAAGACCUUCUGAACAGGUUCAGAGCCAUCAAACAACAAAACCGCAAUUGGGUAACUUCCCUCCACUGUUGAUGUGCAGCUCCAUCACGUUCCCAUAUUUUUGGAAAAAAUCCUUCAGUUCCACAUGUCAACCUCAUGAGCUGUCAGGGUGCCUCACCAUCCUUCAAAGUUCCACAUCUCCUGGUUUACCAGCCUCACAAAUUGAUCAGGGUCCUCUCUGAGGAGGGAUAUUGAUCCAUUGUUCUCGAACUCUCUGAUCUCUCUGAGGCCUUUGUGGUGGGAUCUGAGAGUCAGGUUUAGAUUCUGGACGGGGCUGUAAUACUGGCACUUUGACCACAUGAGGUGGUGUCCCUGUCACUGGAACAGCCCCACUGGGAGGUAGUUCUUACUAGUCACAGAUGCCAAAAAUAAAAUGCCCUCACGUCCUCCUGUGCUGGGACCAUGUCUGCCAGGGCCUAAGAAGCGCUGUUCUGCGCAUCCUCAGGAGCAGCUUCUUCCAAUGCAGCCUCAGGUUUGUCCUCUUCAAUGUCGGUCGGGCACAAGUUCUGGCUCCGUCUCUGGUUCCAGUUCCACAGCAGGGUCCUCUAAAUGUUCCUCCAAGUCAUUACUGACAGUCUGAUCAUAGAAAGUUCAGGAAUCAGGCACCACCUCUGGUGUCUUCUGUCUUUCUUUGGGUUCCUCUACGUCUUCCUCGGAUUCCUCUUGAGGAUCUGUGACAAAGCCACUGAAGAGCUCAUCUUGUUAUUUGAAGUUGUCGUUGUGAACAUAGAAUUUGUUGGCAACAGAGCCCUCAGGAGCAAGGACAAAGGUUUGUGUGAACCUCCGCAGAGCCUGGUUGUUGUUGGACAGUAGCCCCAUCACUUGGACCACCACCCGGUCAUUCAGAGUUGCUUGAGCAUCCAUAUGGUGGAUCUUGGUGUGGCAGUUUGGUGAUGUUUUGUGACAUCACUUUCCUAUGGAUUUCCUUCUGCCCGUAGAUGGCACCUGCUGGCUUCCCAUUGGAAUCAAAGCCCCCAUGGGUAUAGGAAGAGUUAUUUCAAUAAAAUCUGUGUAGCAUGUCCAUGGCCUGGUUCAGCAGGGUAUAGUACUAUCACACAAACUCCCUCCCAACCAGCAUGUGACUAGGCAUCUCCAUAACCAUUGCUUUGGUGGAAUCAACCUAUGUGGCUGAGUCAGAGGAGAAGGUUGCUGUGUGGGAGGAGGUGGUGGCAUCCCUACUAUUAUGAAUUGUAAUGUAAAUAUUUUUGAAACUGGAUGUUUACCAAAGAGGUCAUGACACACUGGUUGAGAAUUACUGUUUUAGACCAAUUUAAAUGAUGAAGAAACCAAAGUUCAGGAGAUCCUGGUUGAUUCCUAGUAGAAAAAAACAUGGCAACCCAGUACUGAGUCCAAGGCUCUUCAGGUCUCAGCACAAAAGUCACACAAUGGAUGCGCAAUGCCCGCCACAGGUCCCUGGGAACUCUUGGUCCCCAGCUGGAGGCACUCUUUUGAAAGGCUGACUGGUUAGCCUUAUAGGUUAAAUAAAGCAUGGCUCUGGUUCCCACCCCAGCUGUAAACCCCACAUCCCCAUCUUAUCUUUCCAUGGCCCUGGUCUCCUCCUCAGCUGUAAGCUCUCCCCACCCCUAUGCAACUCCUCUAAAGCUUCCAGGCAAAAUAAACGCUUCUUUAAGUUGCUUCUUUC